GACGUAGGGCGCGAGCGUUGUCCGGAUUUAUUGGGCGUAAAGAGCUCGUAGGCGGCUUGUCGCGUCGACUGUGAAAUCCCGCGGCUCAACUGCGGGUCUGCAGUCGAUACGGGCAGGCUAGAGUUCGGUAGGGGAGACUGGAAUUCCUGGUGUAGCGGUGAAAUGCGCAGAUACCAGGAGGAACACCGGUGGCGAAGGCGGGUCUCUGGGCCGAUACUGACGCUGAGGAGCGAAAGCGUGGGGAGCGAACAGG
rnacentral:rRNA from 1 species